GACUAUGCAAUUGGUCACUGUAUGAUGUAUCAAUCAAGAUUUCUACUAGGGUUAAUGACACACAAAAGCUGUGAAUUCCUCUUUAAGAUUGGAAGAAAUCCUCCAAUAUGGAAUAUAUCGUCAGAUAAUGUCAUUCUCUUCACCAGAACCAGCAUUUGGGCUAAGGAACUUCACUUAGGAAUCAGUUGUGGAUGCAUGAAUCACUUGAAGGGAUUCCUAGGUUCUUGAUAUUUCCUCAGGUGUCUCAGUUCCUAUAAUCCUGAUCAAAGUCCACCAUGAAAGCUAAUACCAUCUGUCCUCGAUUAAAUUGCAGAAGCUCGUGAGAUGGAUUGGAUCUUUGUAAAAUAAUGCAGGUUCCAUUAGCUUGCAGCUUGUUCAUAGAGCAGAGAUUGUCACUUUCAAAUUUGACCAGUAAAAGCAUAGGAAAAGCACAUAAUACUUC